UUUUUUUUUGAAAAGUCAAAUUUCUUUAAAUUUGACCAAGUUCAGUACAAAAAAUAUCGACAUCCAUAAUAUUAAACAAAAAAAGUAUGAAUAUUCAUUUCAUGGUGAAUCUAAUCAUACCGAUUUGACAUUAUGGAUUUUGACAUAUUUCUCAACAAAUUUGAUCAAACUUAAUAUGUUUGACUUUUAAAAAAAGUAAUACACCUUAUAUUUUGAAAAAAAGUUAGGAAUGUUUUUCAAAAAAUCCAACAACACUAAUGACGCAGCAAAGCGCGCCCAACCCUUUUAGUAAUGUCUAAAGCCUAAGAAUUCCAACACCUUUCACUACAAAAAAAAGACACAUCCGUGACAUUUUGGGCCGAAUGAUUUUUUUUUCUGUCAUACAUAUGACACUUCUAUGACGUUAAUUGUGACAAAACCUGGUAUCAUCAUAGAUGUGGUGGGCUCCUACUUCUAUGACAAAAAAUCAUGACAGAAAAUGGGCUUUUCGUCCUGGGCGGGCCGGAGGCGCAGCUGCAUGACAUUCUUUGGGCCGUCCAUGACGGGAAAAACCUGGUAGAAGCGAGGGCGAGGAAAAUUUCGGGGAGUUCCCGGUUACGGUGGGCGGUCGGGGGCCGAGCGAUGCGUGUUUCUCUUGUACACGUGCACGCAUGUGUGCGAGGCGCUGGCUCUAACUGAACCCAAGCGAGGCGUUGGGCUCUAACUGAACCGGAGUGAUUGCACUGUAGGCUACGCGUUACUGAACCUAGGGCGAUCGAUCGAUGGCUGUUAACUGAACCCGAUCGAGCGAUUCCUUCGCUACUGCUGCUAACUGAAGCCGAUCGAUGCUGCCUCUCUGGAUGAACAGUGAGCGUUAUGGGGGGAUGGAUGAACAGUGAGCGGUGGCGUUGCCUCUGGAUUAACAGGACCCCGUGGUGUGGAGGGCUGGAUGAACAGUAGACGGUGGAGGGGUGCCCGUGGAGGGGUGGUUGAAUAGUAGCCGGUGGAGUAGCGUGCAGUGGAGGCUGGAUGAACAGGAUCCCGUGGAGGUUGGAGGAGGUCGACGGUAGCCCGUGGAGGCUGGAGGAGGUCGACGGUGGAGAUGAACAGUAUCCCAUGGAGUCCCGUUUUGCUGUACGCCACACCCCUUCCGAUGAACAGGACCCCCGUUUCAAAUGUAGCGCUCUAACACAAGUCCGUUUUGUCCGUUUUGUGGUACGCCACACCCCUCCCGAUCAACAGGACCCCCGUUUCGACCGUAGGAGGUCCGUUUCGUUCGUUUUGUGGUACGCCACACCCCUCCCGAUCAAUAGGACCCCCGUUUCAACCAUAGGAGGUCCGUUUCCUCCGUUUUGCGGUACGCCAGACCCCUCCCGAUGAACAAGAUCCUGUUUCAAACAUGGUCUGUCGAACACAAGGCCGUUUCCUCCGUUCUGCGGUAUGCCAGGCCUUAAUUCCAUUGCCUGUUCCAUCCAAGCCCUCCCGAUGAACACGACGAUGCAUUCCGUUCCGGCCCAGCUGGUUGGCUCCCACGCGUUCCGUUGCCUCCCGAUGAACACGACGCAUUCCGUUGCCUCCCCAUGAACACGACGCAUUCCGUUGCCUCCCCAUGAACACGACGACGACGCUCUUUCUCCGUUCUGACCCAGCCUUGUACACGAGCCAUGGCCAUACGUAUGCGCAAGUAGGCAUUCGAGAACCCGCCCGUAUGUACGUAAGUGGCCGUAUUUUCUUUCUUGCACCCUGGCAGUUGUAUGUACGUGUACAUGCUACAUAAUACAUGCGCCUCUACUACAACACGUGCACACCUCUACUACGACACGUGCGCGACUCUACAUCCACCAGUAUGUAUGUACACGUUCGCGACCAGAAUGACAAUGCUACGUACGCUUCGACCGGGUGGGUCCCGACUGUCAGGCAAUUCCUUGCGUGCGAAGAUGUGGCUGGUGGGUCCCAGCAGUCAGGGGGCGAAUCAUUUUGUGUUUUUUUCCCAAACGCACUUCCUUGCAUGCGAAGGUGUAGCUGGUGGGUCCCAGCAGUCAGGGGGGAAAGUUGUUUUCACAAAAUAUGGUGGCCCGUCUGGUGGGUCCCCGCUGUCAGGUGGAGGAAUAAUUAUUUUGCGCGUAAUAAGGAGGCACUUCCUUGCGGCCGCCGUGGACCCAGCUGUCAGCCUCUCCAUGCACAGUACUCUUCCGAUGGAAGUCGGUUGUUGACCACAUUGACCAUGCCGCACCGAGAGCACCACGGCGGUCGACGAUGGCGAGGCCUAGGAAGGGGACAACGUGGAGCUGGGGAAGACGCGGCAGUGGAUGCCCACGCGAAGAGGAGUAUGAGGGUUCGCUGGUUCGGCUGUGGUGUGAGGUUGCCGUCGCUGUAGAAUAAUAGGGGGUGUGGGUGAGUAGAGGGAUGCCCUGGGCCAUCGGUGGGAGUAGUAGGGGGCGGUGAGGCCUCCGCGGUAUCACAGCUGGCCACGGGAGGCAGGAGCAUGCGGCACGACUGGCGCUGCUUUGGGCGACUGGAGAACGAAGACCAGAGGUUGAAGAAGCACUACGGCCGUUGGAUGGACAUCGUACGGUCACUCGAGUAUUGACUAAGUUGACAAAGCCCUCCGUCCCCGUCAACUUAGUAGGCCCACAAGUCAGCCUGCCACUAUACUGGGUCCCAGCUAGUAGGGGGAGUAUUCAUUUUUUUGCGUAAUAAGGAGGCACUUCCUUGCGUGCGAAGAUAUAGCUGGUGGGUCCAAGCUGCCAGUGGCGGUAACAUUUUUUCGCGAAAUACAGAGGCCCUUUCAGUGGGUCCCUGAUGACCCACAAGUGUAGGGGAUCGCAACAGCUUUUGAGGGUAGAGUAUUCAACCCAAAUUUAUUGAUUCGACACAAGGGGAGCCAAAGAAUAUUCUUGAGUAUUAGCAUUUGAGUUGUCAAUUCAACCACACCUGGAUAACUUAGUAUCUGCAGCAAAGUAUUUAGUAGCAAAGUAAUAUGAUAGUAAUGGUAACGAUAGCAAAAGUAAUAUUUUUGGGUUUUGUAGUGAUUGUAACAAUAGCAACAGAAAAGUAAAUAAGUGAAGCACAAGAUGUGAAAAGCUUGUAGGCAAUGGAUCAGUGAUGGAUAAUUAUGUCGGAUGUGAUUCCUCAUGUAAUAGCUAUAACAUAGGGUGACACAGAACUAGCUCCAAUUCAUCAAUGUAAUGUAGGCAUGUAUUCCGAAUAUAGUCAUACGUGCUUAUGGAAAAGAACUUGCAUGACAUCUUUUGUCCUACCCUCCCGUGGCAGCGGGGUCCUAGUGGAAACUAAGGGAUAUUAAGGCCUCCUUUUAAUAGAGAACCGGACUAAAGCAUUAACACAUAGUGAAUACAUGAACUCCUCAAACUACGGUCAUCACCGAGAAGUAUCCCGAUUAUUGUCACUUCGGGGUUGUCGGAUCCUAACACAUAAUAGGUGACUAUAGACUUGCAAGAUAGGAUCAAGAACACACAUAUAUUCAUGAAAACAUAAUAGGUUCAGAUCUGAAAUCAUGGCACUCGGGCCCUAGUGACAAGCAUUAAGCAUAGCAAAGUCAUAGCAACAUCAAUCUCAGAACAUAGUGGAUACUAGGGAUCAAACCCUAACAAAACUAACUUGAUUACAUGAUAAAUCUCAUCCAACCCAUCACCGUCCAGCAAGCCUACGAUGAAAUUACUCACGCACGGAGGUGAGCAUCAUGAAAUUGGUGAUGGAGGAUGGUUGAUGAUGAUGAUGAUGAUGAUGAUGAAUCCCCCUCUCCGGAGCCCCGAACAGACUCCAGAUCAGCCCUCCCGAGACAGAUUAGGGCUUGGUGGCGGCUCCGUAUCGUAAAACGCGAUGAAACUUUCUCUUUAAUUUUUUUCUCCGCGAGACAGAAUAUAUGGAGUUGGAGUUGAGGUCGGCGGAGCUGCAGGCGGCCCACAAGAUAGGGGGCGCGCCCAGAGGGAGUGGGCGUGCCCCCCACCCUCAUGGACAGGGUGUGGGCCCCCUGGUCUUGAUUCUUUCACCAGUAUUUUUUAUAUUUUCUGAAACUUGUCUUCGAGGAUUUUCAGGUCAUUCCGAGAACUUUUGUUUUCUACACAUGAAACAACAUCAUGGUAAUUCUGCUGAAAACAACGUCAGUCCGGGUUAGUUUCAUUCAAAUCAUGCAAAUUAGAGUCCAAAACAAGGGCAAAAGUGUUUGGAAAAGUAGAUACGUUGGAGACGUAUCAGUCCCAGAUGUCAGAUGGAGGAAUCAUUAUUUUGCGCGUAAUAAGGAGGCAUUUCCUUGCGUGCGGCCGUGGACCCAGCUGGCAGCCUCUCCACGUACAGUCCACUUCAGAUGCAUGUUGGUCGUUGACCACAUUGACCAGGCUGCACCAAGAGCACCAGGACGGUGGACGACGGCCAGGCCUAGGAGGGGAAUGACACGGAGGCAGGGAAGACUCAACAGUUGUUUCCCACGCGGAGGGGAGUAUGACUGUACGAGGGUUUACUGGUUCGUCAGCCGUCGCCGGAGAAUAAUAGCAGGUGUAAGUGAGUAGAGGGAUGGCUAGGCCAGCGAUGGGAGUACGGUGGGGCGGUGAGGCCUGCGCGGUAGCACAGCCGGCCGCAAGGAGGAGGGAGCAGGCAGUCUCUGCGACACUUGUUUGAGCGGCUGGAGCAGGAAGAGCAGAGAUUGAAGAAGCACGACGUCCGUUGGAUGGAAAUCCAACAGUCACUACUUGUGCGUCAACCUUUUUUUAGGAAAGCCUCAAAUCUGUGGAAAAUAGCAUACAGCCCAUCUACCAUUAUUUCUAAUAUUGACAGCCCAUUUGCUAUUUCUUAAGAUUUUUUUGGAGCCCAUAUUCUUUUUGUUAGCAUUACAGUCCAUAUUGUGGCCAUGAUUAAAAAAUUAUAUGAAAUUUUGCAUAUUUCGGUGCGGUUCGAACUGUUUUUAAUCCCAAAAUUUCGAGUCACUUCAAAAUGAUUUUAUAAAUAAAUGUAUAUCAAUAUAAAAUCCAACAAAUUGUCCACGCAUAAAAAUAAAUGCAAUUUAAAAUCUCGAAAAAAAUCAAUAUAAAAUCCAACAAAUGGUGGGUCCCAACUAGCAGGGGGUAUUCAUUUUUUUGUGCGUAAUAAGGAGGCACUUCCUUGCGUGUGAAGAUAUAGCUGGUGGGUCUGACCUGUCAAGGGGGGAAUGUUUUUUCGCGAAAUACAGAAGCCCUUCCCACGUAUAGUCCACGUACAGUGCGUAAUAAGGAGGAACUUUCCUUGCGUGCGACCAUGGACCUCGUGGGUCCCAGCCGCCAGGCUCUCCACGUACAGUCCUCUUACGAUGACUCUCUUAUGUUGGCCACGCCGCACCGAGCGCACUGAGGCGAUGGACGACGGCGAGGCCCCAGACUGGAAUGACCCGAAGAUGGGGAAGACGCGGUAGUGGAGUCACAGACAGAGAGGAGUGGGAAACUUGACUGUUUCAGGUGCGGGGUGGGCAUACACUCGGCAGCGAAUAAUAGGAGGUGCGGAGUGGAGGGAUGGCCUGGCCGUCGGCGGGGUAGCGUUUCGCUGAGGAGCGCAAAACAACGCCACUGGACACCGAAGGCUGGAGCAGGCGGUUCCGGCAGCGCUGGGGGAAGAAGACAAGAGAUUGAAUAAGAAUGCUGGCCGUUGGAUGUAAAUCCAACGCCUUCUUAGGCUUCGACCUACUGGCCCACAUGUCAGCCAGUCCAUUUGUUUUCUUAGUCCAUUUGGUGGGUUGGGUGAAACAAUGAUGUAGCAUCUAUGCAACCCGUUUAAAUCACAUUUGCAUUUUUCUCAAAAUCCGCGGACUUGCUGGGCUGGGUGAAAAUAUCAUGUUGGGCUAGACGGAGAAAUGUUAUAAAAACAUAAACACAUGAUUGCACGUCUAUUACUGCAUUGGUCAGUAAAAUCUUUGCAAGCUUAUGUACGCAAUCACUAGGAGUUAACUUGCCAAGUUAUAUAUAAACAAUUAUUAUUAUUAUUUUGUAAGAACUUUCAACUUACGAAAUAAAAUAUAAUUUUAAUUUGAUGUGUUAAUAGUACGUGGGGUAUUAUUAUUUUUUAGGCUAGACGUGGGAUAGUUGAGUUGGUUCUAGGGAAAAGUACUGGGAGAAAACUCAGUUUACAUCAAAAAAGAAAGUGGGAGAAAAUUCAGAGACCUGCUGGGUCCACCUGAGGAGGGGAAUAUGUUGGGAGGAAGGAGAUUCAAAGCACGGCAGCCGAGUGAACUAGUUUUUUUAACGGACAAGUGAACUAGUUACAUACAUAAGCAAAUAGCCACUAAAAAGCAAUCAAUUUAAUGGGUUCUUAAAAGAAAUAUUUCGGACAAAACAGAUAAUUACGACACAUAGGCUAAUGCAUGAAACACUCAGAUGAUAAAGGUGCUUAUAAACAGAUAAAGUACAACAUCUAGACCUUCCUGGCACGCUUGAUCAUGACGCUGCGGCUGUCUGUGUACUAGUCGGUUACAGGAAGCAGACACACCCUCAUGUCCAAGAUCUUCCUGUACAUGUCGUAGCAUGCGUAUGCGUCCUUGGUCGCGAGGUUAUGUAGGCUAGAUUUAGAGGUACCUCCCACGUGUUUAGGUCGUCUUCUUUCAUGUUGGCAUAUCAGGGGUCGAUGAUGGUCUCAGCGAGGUCAACCACGGAGUCCUUCUCCUGCCCGUUGCUGAUGAUCUUGUAUUUCUUCUGGAUGUCGACAAGCUUGUUGGACCAGAUGGCCGAAUCAUCGCGUUCUUCCUUCUUCUCUCCACCGUAGAGAAGGUGCAUUCGGUGCUGCCGAUGAAACGGGCGAAUGCUCCAGAACCUAGUGCAGCCAUAGGACUGAGGCGAGGCAGAGCUUCACCGAGUCCGUAUCGUUGGUGUACAUCACAUUCAACUUGGUGAAGCCAUAGGACUGAACGACGAACUCAAAGGGGAACUCCUUGCUGAAGUACAUAUCCAGCGGGCUCACCCCUGGGAUCGCCAUUGGAGUCUCUUCGAGUGAACGAGUGUGUAGGCGGUGGCAGCAAUUCGUUUUUCAGCUCUUGGGGAACUGGAUUCAACAGUAAGCUGAGUGUGUACAGGCGACAACAUUUACUACCCCUCCCUCGUCCGCUGCACGCCCGGCAGAAGAUGCACCCUCGGCGCAUUAAAACGCCUCCAUUACAAAACCUACUCCGGCCACACGUUAGUUCACGAGUGGGUCUGUAUUGGUACUGUAAUAACAGGAGUUAGUGGUCACUUUACUUAAAUUUAAUUAGCUUUAAUAGAAAUUUAUACUUAAAACAAGCAAUGCAUUGGCUCAUUCUAUCAGUGCCACAGAUCAACAUGCACAACAAUUAGAAUUAUUAUUCUCAGGACGCACACGAUCAGCACAUUUGUCGCAAUUUCACAAAGAUAAUACUACCAAGUUUGAACUGUUUGUUAUGGUUGUUGUCCUCUACAUCAUCAUGUCGUGUUUCCCAGCUUGCAAGAUUCAGAACCAACAAAUAAGAUCCAAAUAAUAAGUACAAAAAAGAUGCCUACACAUCUCAUUGAUUCCCAGCUUGCACGAUUCAGUACCAACAAAUAAGAUCCAAAUAAUAAGUACAACAAAGAUGCCUACACAUCUCAUUGAUUCCCAGCUUGCAAGAUUCAGAACCAACAAAUAAGAUUCAAAUAAUAAGUACAACAAAGAUGCCUACACAUCUCAUUGAUUCCCAGCUUGCAAGAUUCAGAACCAACCCAUUAGAGCCUUUUGAUAAAGUGAAUAUCUGGAUAAAAUCCAUCUUGGCUAGCCAUGUCAUGCAAUCGAAGAACUUGGCGAAUGCUCUUGACCGUCACAACAUCUAUAGUUGAGUAUUCCUGUUUGCACAGCACAAACAAGGAGACAGGAGAGCAUGAUUUCACUUUAAUAGCGGCCUCCUUGAACUCAACCUGCAGCUCCACUAGGAUGAGGUGUGCUUGGAGUUCCAUGAUUCAAUUCAUGCGCCUUUUUAUGCAGUUCCCCUGAAAUGAAGCAAAGAUUGCAUCAUUCAGCUAGCAAGAAGUACUUGCUCGCAUGAGCUGGCAGGUUCUUAUUUAGUAGUUGCACUAAAAUUGAGGAACAUUAAGGUUGGUUGUCCGGCUCAUGUAAGGUGCAACUAUAAUUUUCUUAUCCUUUUGUGCAGUUCCACUAAAAUAAAGUGCCAUUGUGGUGACAGUGACGGCUCCAUCUUGCAAAGGCUAAUAAAAUGUUGCACGAGAUUACUAGGAGAACUUGACGAAGAUUUUGGAAACUCCAAUCACCAUUUUGUGCAAUUCCACUAAAAUUGAGAGAUGUUGCUCACAUGACAUUUUAGUUGAACUGCACAAGACACUCAUUCCAAAAAAAAGUGUUUUGUGCAGUUCACCAAAAGGUCACAAUAGGAACAAGGUGAAAUGGAUAUCCCUAUGUGCACAAAAAGAUAGAAAGUAAACAGUUGUUGGUCAAUAAGAAUAUAUGAAACAUAUACAAAAUGAAAAGAAGCAUCUUAAUUAUGUUCAUGGCAAUCACGCAAGGACAGUAGAAAUUUUAAAAUGUCAGCAAUGCUUCAUGUUACCAGAAGCAUUACGAUCAACAAUGAGAUUCCUCAAAUAUGGGAUUACUUUAAUGGUGGCAUUGCUUGUUUACCAGACAUAGUAAAUCAACAGCAGAAAAAGAGUUGGUUUAAGGGAAUGGGACCGUGGGGACACUAGGACACUCAGCAGCGUAAAGGAGCAACUUAUCAUACUGGGGAAAACAGCAGGAGUGCCAUUUGUAACACAGUUUAAUUGCAUCUUAUCACUGGAGGCAUUAGAUUAACAAUAACACUGGUUAGACAUGUCCCUAAGGUAACAGUGUGAUCGCUUCAUUUUACAUGCGCCCUUACAUUAACAACAGCAAAAGGUUGGUAUAAGGACAUGCGACAGUAGACGCAUCAGCACAAUGUACCUACAAGGAGGCAUAAAGUGGUGAUGCCGAGUUUAUUCAUGCUAUGUGAGGGCAGCAAACCUAAUCCUGGAGACCUUGUACUAUGUGAGGGCAGCAAAUCUAAUCCUGGAGACCUUUUACUAUGUGAGGGUAGCAAGUCUAAUCCUGGAGACCUUUUACUAUGUGAGGGCUGCAAAUCUAAUCCUUGUGACCUUUUACUAUGUGAGGGCAGCAAAUCUAAUCCUGAGAUCUUUUACUAUGUGAGGGCAGCAAAUCUAAUCAUGAGACCUGUACUAUGUGAGGGCAGCAAAUCUAAUCCUAGAGACCUUUUACUAUGUGAUGGCAGCAAAUCUAAUCCUCGACAUACUCUGUUGACUUGUCCACCAGCCGCCACUUUCUAUCCUUUUUUCAACAAAUAAUAGAUUUGUUCCUUAUCCAGUUUGUACUGCAUUUUCCCAUUAUUUCCCAUUUCAACCAAGGGACCGGUUGGGUAUCCGGUCUCUACUACUUUCACCAUAUUAUUUCCUCUUUGAAUCAAGUCCUAGAUUCAUGCUACAACUUUCCCCCCUUUCUUCGUUGUUUGAACAAAGCCCUAGAUUCGAAUGCAUGAAGUAGCUUUACCUCUAAUAAUACUAAAAAUUUAGGUGGCUUUGGAAGAGCUGAUGGCAGUAGAAAAAGAUGCACAUGCAGACACGUGGGGAGCUAGGGCAGUAGAGGACCUCCCGAGCCGGCGCAGGACAAUACGGAUCUGCGGACAAUACGGCAGGGAGGAAGAAGGGUCGGAGGACCUCCUGAGCCGGCGCUGUGUCAGAGAGAACGGCACGGGCAGAGGAUAAGGCCCCUCCGGCAGUUGUGGGUUUCCUCCCUCGGCAGCGAUGACCGUGUGAACGACGCACCUUUUAGUCCUCUACACACACUGGCCGAAGGGAUCCGGCCGGAUCUGUGACCAGCGGUGAGCAGAGAGAAAAUGUCGCUACUGUUGUCUUGUUUAUAUCUGGAGAGGAUGAGAGAAUGAAGAGAGCAACCCUAGUAAAGCAAGCGCUCAGGCCCCUGCGUCCAUAUAUAGUGGAGUGAUUAUCUUUUUUCUCUCCACGACAAGCGUUUCAAUUUGUGUACGUGGCAUUAAAGAAAAGAAACUCUCUAUUUAAGGUGACUAUUGUACGACUCCUACUUACUACUAGUAGUACUACAGUAUUGUUCACUUGUGCUCUCCGCCCCUCCAUUCAUUGAACAACCCCAUGGGUGAAUAAACAUACAGACUGCAAUUUGACGGCGCGUUACUUUUGGAAAGACUUGUGAUAUGACCACUCACUAUACUCAUGAAUUACUGGCGCUCUGACCGAGGUGAUGCCCCCCUUCCGUUCCACGCUCUAAUCUGGUGCAUGACACAUCGACCCGGAUGAUGGCUCUCCCACAUGUCGGAGUAGUAAGAAGGAGCAAAGAAUGAUGCAGUAUAUACUAGUACUAUACUACUCCCUCCGUUCCUAAAUAUAAUUCUUUGGAGAGAUUUCACUAUGGACCACAUACGGAGAAAAAUGAGUGAAUCUACACAUACAAUGCAUCUAUAUACAUCUGCAUGUGGUCCACAGUGAAAUAUCUACGAAGACUUAUAUUUAGGAACGGAGGGAGUACUACUCAGGUCGGAGGAGUGCGAACCACGAUAGCCCAGUGAACCAGCAGUGCGAACCACGGCAGCCCAGGGAACCAGCAGUGCGAACCACGGUAGCCCAGUGAACCAGCAGUAGAAAAAAUGUGGUGAUAUGGCCAUAAAAAACAAUGUUCUACGGUCCACACUGUAGCAUGUACAGUAACACUCCUCUUUGUUUGGAUCCCUGAGUUAGAGCUAGUUUGGGUUGAAAUAGCCUCAAAUUAUCAAAACAAGAGGGGUUAGUUUGAGCUAGUUUGCUCUAACCCAGCUAAAAAAACUAGCCUGGUGGAGAGGUUCUAAUUGGGUUAGUUAUCUUCGGGCCCACUAAAAGAGAACAAAAAAAAUCUCCCUGCCCACACCAGAUUGCUCCCCCCCCCUCUCGCACGACUACUCUCUGUUCCCCAUAGGGCCGCCCGCCCAAGCGCCGCUCGCCCUCUCUCUCCUCCGGCCGCCCUCUCCUUCCGGCCUCCGCCGCCCUACUUCGGCCUCCCUCUCCCUCCGGCCUUCGAAGAUCACCCCGCUCCCCCUUCACCAGUCGUUUUUCUCCCUCUGUCGUUCGCAGCGGUGGUGCAUCUACCAGGGAGGUGGCGAGAGGGGUGAGUUUGUUCGUUCCUUCUCUGUCUCACGGUCAUAUCAUUGAUCUUGCUUGCUCUAGCGCUAAUUCUGAUUUGGAAAAGUAGAUCCUGAUCAAACUUGGUAUAGAUUUGUGGUGCAUGCAUGGAAUUGUUUGAUGCUGCUUCAGGAGGUAAUAAAUCUUUCUAGAGGCCCAAAGAUUCAGUUCACCUUUCUAGGUAUUUCAAUUUCAGGCUUGCAUUAUUUCUAGAGGACCAAAGAUUCAGUUCACCUUUCUAGGUAUUUCAGUUCAGGCUUGCAUUAUUUCUAGAGGCCCAAAGAUUCAGUUCACCUUUCUAGGUAUUUCAAUUUCAGGCUUGCAUUAUCUCUAGAGGCCCAAAGAUUCAGUUCACCUUUCUAGGUAUUUCAGUUUCACGCUUGCAUUAUUUCUAGAGGCCCAAAGAUUCGGUUCACCUUUCUAGGUAUUUUAGUUACAGGCUUGCAUUAUUUCUAGAGGCUCGAAGAUUAAGUUCCCAGUCGGCGGCAAGCAGCCCUGCUACCCAUGCCGGUGUCGACCUCAACUCGCAAGGGCCGGCGCCGGAGGGGUUCCCGGGGCUUGGGCUCUACAGAGCCUUCCUCCAGAGAAAUGAUGGCGAGCUCCUCCCUCCGUGCGUGAGGGGCUCCGGGCUCCCUCCCUAUCAUGAAUGACUUCCGUGAUGAGUUAGCUCAUGCUUUGUUUCAUGAAGUGUUUUUUUUAUUUUGUGAAGCUUGAUUGACGACUUGUAUGUUUAAGUGGGAUAUCUCAUUUGUAUGGACAAAGUAAAAAUUAUCAUGUUUUGCAUGCUUGAUUUGUAUAGAUGGUUCGUUUAUUGUGAGCGGGAGGAGGCCACAGAAGAGCCGGCCACACCAAAUCCGGCAAGAAAUAGGGUCCAAAGUAGUCAAAUGAUUGAGAAAGAGCAUUUAUUGUCAAUCUAACCCUGCCAUCCAUACACCUCUUUGGUUUAGAGUUAGUUCAGGGUUAGAAUCUAACUCUAACCUCUAACUGAGUUAGAGUUCUCCUCGUCUCGGUUCAUCGCCAUCAUACUUUCCCCAUUCCUGUGUUUUCAGUAUCCUGUGAAUCAAAGAGGCCCUAUUUUUGUGGGAAAAAUCAAAGAGGCCCUUAGACUGGUUUAGGUCCGGUCAUUUUUUAUAAGCGUGUUAUGUCCAAAAUUUAAUGAAUGUGCUCCGUUUCCACAAAAAUAAUCUGGUUUCAUGUAGUAAUUCAUUCAUUUAUUUAUUAUUCUACGGGGGGUUUGCAUGAAAUUCGUGAGGUCUGAAAUGUAAAGUACCCCGGCAUAUGCUCCGAGUCGUGCAUGCACUACGACGCAGAUGCUUUAUGUCCCACAUGUCGGUGAAUGGGAGCACGUGGAAAUAGCCUAGGAGUACAUAUAGGAGGAUAAAUGCGUGAAAAAAUAUGUACUGUGAAGCGUAGUCGCGGUUCGAGAAGGAGACCUAAAGUGAUGACAGCUAUAGGUCGCACGCACCCAACUAGUGGUACUAGACAUACGACUAAUUUUGCCCUCAAAAAAAAGAGGCACGAGUGCUCAGUACUCCUAUUCUAUAAACACGAGUCCCAUCUGACAACAGCGUCCGUGCUAUAGCUAGCUCUCCUCCCUCAUUUCUCUCUUCUAAUUCUAAACUCGGUCGAUGCCCGGUGGGCGGGGUGGGUUUGCUCAACUGCGGCCCACCUCACAGCGAAAACGUUAUGACUGGAAUAAAAAUGCCAUAUACUCCCUCCAUUCAUAAAUAUAAGCCUUUUUAGAUACUAUUUCAAAUGGAAUACAACAUACAGAUGUAUGUAGACAUAGUUUAGAGUGUAGAUUCACUCAUUUUGCUCCGUAUGUAGUAGUCACUUGCUGGAAUCUUUACAAAGACUUAUAUUUGGGAACGGAGGGAGUACUAUACUAAUAAAACAUUAAGGCCACGAGGCGAUGUAGUGCUGGUUACAUGAGGCAAGAAGAAGAGAUGCAUCCAUCGACGACGUCUACCUCCUCGACUCAGGGCGCCGGCUCACCGAACGGCGCAUAAGUAGCAGCGGCUUUCGUGGCUAGGUCGACGUGCUUCUGAACAAUGGCGUCCAAAGAUUCCAGCCGCUGGAAGAAGGCCAACGUCUUUCUGUCCUUGCUUGCCUUGUAGUGGCCUAUGUAGAUGAUUUCCUCGUAGACGUGGAUGUGCAGGUCGACGGUUUCUUGCAUGGUGAGGCGCUCCGCGGCGAGCGCGGCCUCGAGGUCCACAUUCUUCGUCGCGACCUCCGGCACCUGCAGGGCCACCAGGGCUUGAAAGAGUUCGUCACCAUGGAGGCCGAUGAGGGUGGCAGGCAAUGAGGAGCCUGGGCACGCAGGAUGGAGCAGUACAGCAAGGUCGUCCGCGCGCUUCUUGACGGUGAUGAACUUGCGGAUGGAGUUGGCCAUCAUGUCGUCCAUGCGAGAGGCGAAGCGGGCGUCAGCGAGGGCUAUGAUGCAUGCGAUCGCCAGCACCGUCUGGAAACGUUGGGAGGUACGGGGCCACAGGCCGGCGCCUUAGAUGAUUUGACACAGCUGACUGUCGCUCGCGUCCAUCGCUUCCAUAAGUUCUUGUGGCUUCUGGUCACUUGGUCUUGGAUUGGAGUGAGCAGUGUUGCGCAGAGACUUGGGAGUAGAUGGAUUGGAGUGGUGGGUCACCUUUAUUAUAUGAGAGUCCAAACUCUGUUGCAUUCACAUCGUGUUGGCUCUAUUCUGCUUCUCCAAUUAAUUCCAUCUGCAUGUAAUUGAGGAUGCAUCAUUGACAGUUCAACGUCUCAGGAACCGCUACCCUCUCCCGCCUUGGCAUUCAAGCACCUAUGGACCCGUCGACGACGAGGUGCCUAUGGUGACUUCAUAAAUUUCAAGAUGAUAGUGUCGUGCGUUUGUGCAUUCAUAGGAGUGAGUGUAUGCACGUGUAUAUGAGCGCUUGCGUCUAUACUGUGUCAAAAAAAACGUAAAUGCGUGUCAAAAAGAGACUAGUCAGUAUACUCAAUAUUGUGCACCUCAGAGAGGAAAACGAUAGAACUAGUACGUAAUUAUUUACGGUGCAGAUUCACUCAUUUUGCUCCAUAUGUACUCCUCCUCGGUGUAGUCUAGUCACUUUUUGAAAUCUCUAGAAGGGCAAAUACUCCUUUCUGGUUUACAGGGCUAUACUAGCAAGUAGUUGUAUGUACUAGUACAAUAGUGGGCUCACAUAGCAAUUUUGUCUCGUGCAAGAGCCUGGCUAUAUGCGUGCUCCAAUGUUCGCAACUGCAACAUUCGGUUUGCGCUUGGCUCUUCGCCUCUUUGAGAAGACGAACAAUGAUGUUACUACUACUGCUUCUACAGUGUCAAAUCCACUGCUGCAUGUCCGUCCACCGCGAGCGGGACGGAUAGCUUGUUGUAGAAGUACUACUAAGCAAAAGCAUGUCCUCGUUUGCGAGCAACCGCGCGCAUGGGCGAGGGAGAAGGCGUGUAGUAAAAUCAAACUUCUCCUUCUUGUACGAGUUGACGCGACACAUCAUAGCACUCGCCCCACAUCCUUAUAUAUUCAUAAGUCUUGCUAUAAGUCGCAGUAGAUGCUAUAUAGGUCCGUCGGAUCUUACAUCAAGAUCCGUGCUUUCAGAUUUUCUUUUUUCUCUCUUAAAUCUCAGUCGAGUGAGACAUAGCCACGCCAUUAAACAGAGGCUCGGGUGCCAUUAAUAGAGACCUUGGGAGAGAGGUGGACGGAAGAUGGAGGUCAAAGGGCUCUCCUCCCGAUAAGCACGCGCAGGGGUCUGAUCGCAUGCCUCUCGUACUCAAAUAGCUACCCUGCACGGCGCCUCCUAGCUAAUAAAAAUGGGACGCGUGGCGGCACGUAAAUGGUACUAGUAAGUAGAACGCCCACGGUUUCAAUAAUACUUGUGUUUCCGAUUGUAACGUGACAGCACUUGUUCCAAAAUGACUUCGUUGAUUGUUAAUGUGUGCGCCUUCGCAAAUCAUACUGCAAAAUUACCACAACAUGUUGGUGCCAUGUCAUGGCACUAAGCCAAGUUUCAUUAUUUUCUUGCGUGUUUUGGAUUUACAGGAAUUAAAAAACUAAGUUUCUCAAUGUUUCCAACCCAGCCACGACGCCCAGAAUUUUGAAUUUCAUUCCCAUUUCUUGCACGGAACCUAGAAAUUUACCCGAGGACACACAUGUGAUUUUUUCAACCAACUUUGGUGCACUGGAACAUGUGCUUGUAUUUCAAAUUUGAAUUAUGCACACAAAGGUGACACGUUCCCUCCCAGAACCACGAGCCUUCUUGAGAGAAGCUCCGAUUUGCAAGAAGCUUAUACCAAAAUUUGUUCCUAUUCGGCCAAUUUUUUUUACCACGGCAAGGUACUACCAUGACAUGACACCAUUCCAAGUUUCAUGAUUUUAAAACCAAGUUUCUCAAUGUUCUCGACCGAGCCACGAUGCCCAGAUGUUUGAAUUUUAUUCUCAUUUUUUGCAUGGGACCUAGAAAUUCAUCCGAGGACACAAAUGUGAUUUUUCAACCAACUUUGGUGCACGGGAGCAUGUGCUUGUAGUUCAAAUUUGAAUUAUGCACAUUAAAUGACCAAAACUCAAUUGAUGUGUAAAUAAGGCUAAAUGAAGCCGGAAUAAUUCCAAAAUUUAACAGAGCACUCAUGUAGUUCUAUGUUGCCUUUGUAAAUAAACUCAAGGGGGGCAGCGUAUAUCGUUUCACACUCAAAGGUGGCACGUUCCCUCUUAGAACCACGAGCCUUCUUGAGAGAAGCUUCGGUUUGCAAGAAGCUUAUACCAAAACCUGUUCCUAUUCGGCCAAUUUUUUUACCACAGCAUGGUAGUACCAUGACAUGACAUCCAUGCCGGGUUUCAUGAUUUUCAGACAUGUUUUGGAUUUACAAGAAUUUUAAAAACAAGUUUCUCAAUGUUCUCGGCCCAGCCACGAUGCCCAGAUGUUUUAAUUUUAUUCUCAUUUCUUGCAUGGGACCUAGAAAUUCACCAGAGGACACAAAUGUAAUUUUUCAACCAACUUUGGUACACGAGAGCAUGUGCUUGUAGUUCAAAUUUGACUUAUGCACACUAAAUGACCAGAAACUCAAUUAAUGUAUAAAAAACAACAAAUGAACCUGGAAUAAUUCCAAAACUUAACAGGGCACUAAUGUAGUUCUAUGUUGCCUUUGUUAAGAAACUCAAGGGGGGGGCAGCGUAUAUCGUUUCACACUCAAAGGUGGCACGUUCCCUCUUAGAACCACGAGCUUCCAACUCGGCCCAAUUUUUUACCACAACAUGUUAGUGCCAUGACAUGACACCAUGCCAAGUUUCAUGAUUUCCAAGCGAGUUUUGGAUUUACAUGAAUUUAAAAUCUAAGUUUCUCGAUGUUCUCGGCCGAGUCAUGACGCCUAGAUGUUUGAAUUUCAUUCUCAUUUCUUCCAUGGGACCUAGAAAUUCAACCAAGGACACACAUGUGAUUUUUCAACCCACUUUGGUGCACCGGAGCAUGUGCAUGCAAUUCAUAUUUAGAUAAGGCACAUUAAAAGUCCAGAAACUUAAUUAAUGUAUAAAAAGGCCAAAUGAACCCGAAAUAAUUCCAAAAUUUAACAGGGCACUCAUAUAGUUCUAUGUUGCCUCUGUAAAUAAAAUCAGGGGGAGGCAGCAUAUAUCAUUUCACACACAAAGGUGACACCUUCCCUCUCGGAACCACGAGGCUUGUUGAGAGAAUCUCUGGUUUUGCAAGAAGCUUAUACCAAAACUUGUCCCAAUUCAGCCAAAAAUUAUACAUAUGAAAAUAGGGUUUAGAUUAUCCCGAACAUCUCGCUACCUAGACCAAUAAUGUACUAUGAUUUGAAUUCAACAUAAAAUGGAUACAAAUAUUUGAAUUGGAGAGCGUAUGGUACAUGUAGUUCAUAGUGAAAUAUGAUUACUGCUAUAUGCAUGUUUUUUGUUAUCAAGAUAAUAUUUAAAUUAUUGUAUAACUUGACAACAAUCGUACUCAAAUAAGGAAAAUUGAUUAAAAUUUAGUCCAUAUGGUAGACGACAAUAUAUAUGUUCACAUGGUGGAGUAAAAUGUUCAUAUAUGAUGGAAGAUCAAAAUGUACGACUACAUCAAUUAUAAACCGCAAGGUCACCUAAUGAUAUAUUCGAAUUCAACAUAACGUGGAUUCAAAAAUUGAUAUUCGAGAUCAUGGCAUCUGUAAUCAUAUAAAAAGGGACUUUACUCUUUCUUUGGUGGGAAUUGAUUUGUUUUUUGUUGUUGUUGAGGGAAGUGCGAAUCGAUUUGGUACUGUGCAGGGUAAUCUUGUUCUCCUGAUUUUUUUUACAUUUUCCUUGUAGUUUUUUCAAUGGCAUUUAUAGCAAUAUAGUAAAAGGGGACACGACUCUCUUGUGUCUUGUAUGAAUUGUUUUUUUACACGUUAAGUUUGUUCUGCCGAACAAGGAAUCCACACCUUGUUAUCCCGAAAUUUUCAAGCUCGAGUAUCUUUUGUCUCACCUGCUUUGAAACUCCCGCAUGUUCAACCCGUGUCGCGCCUUGUUAUCCCGAAAUUUGGACGCGCGCGAGAACUCCCUCCUCAUCCGAAAUCGGUCCCGCGGCCCAAACACGCGAAAUCCCCUUCUACCCCUCAGCCGGAAAUGAAGCUCCACGUCGCGGUGUCAAAACCGUUUGGGGUACGCUAGUAACUUACCCUACAUUUCGAACAAGCGCGUCCCUAAGAUUGGCUCCCCACUCCCACUUUGCUCCCCCCCAUUCAUACAUCGAGGCCGCCAAAACCUUCGAAACCCCACGCUCCUCCGUCGGCCUCCCGACCGCCGCCCAACCGGAGACUCUUCCCCGACUAUUCGUCCACCGCAACAGCUCAUCGUCCCUCAUCCACCGCACCGGAUGAGGAUCCGUUGUCGAUAUCAUCGUCCCACCGGAUCAGCCACCCUAUCCUCCACCUCCAAGGAGCUGCCCCGACGUUCGCCUCGUCUAUCACGCCACCUCAAUCCCCACAGCGCCGUCUUGACCUGCCCCACCGGAACCGCCGCACCCUCACCAAUUCCUCUGAUGAAGCCAAGGCCAACUCGGUGCCACCAAGGAGGUUCUGCACUCACCGUUGCAUUUUAUCUUUUAUUCGAUCUCACGGGGCUGCCGGUGCUCGAUACCGAGCAGACAUGGCGGGUCUCCAUUGACGGUGUCGUCGCCGGCCACAUCAUCCACGACGUCUCUCCCCCAUGUCGUUGCUUCCUCGGCGGCGACUUCCACAACGGCACUAGCUGCAGCUGCUCCGGCUCUCGCACGUGUUGUGGCUCUGUUCUUGUUGUUGGUCGCGCUGCUGCACUGCUCCUGCUUUCAUUCGUGCUGCUACUCUGCUCUUGCUCUCGCUUGCGCUGCUGCUGCUGCUGCUGCUGCACAACCUCCGGCAGCUACAGGAGUUGCUGCUUUAGCACUCGCUCGUGGUGCUACUGCACGACUUGCUCUCUGCUAGUGCGUUCCCUGCUCGAGCGUCUGUUGAUUUAGAUCACUGCUUCUCUGCUACUAGUGCUCGAAUGCCCUAAACAUCUAUUGCAAUGCUCUGUUACUAGUUCAAUUAGUUUUGACAGUAAAAUUCAGUUUCAACUGUAAAGUUCAUUUUCAUCAGUUAAGUUCAGAGUGAACAGUACUUACAGCAUCUGUCGGAGCGGCCGUGGCACGAAUGAUGCGUUUUACAUCUAGCACUUUUUGGUGAUGUAUUUUACAUCAUCUAUUGCAGAUGAUAUUAGGGUCCCACUUCAGAUUAACAUUGUCUGUCUUGUCAUGCAUCAGCCUCGUCGCCGUACACCUUAGUGGAGCUGCUCCAACGAUGGAACCGUCCAUCACAGCGGAGCAGUACCCUCGGCACCGUUUCUAGAGGCCUCGGAUCUCCUUCCCCGCCUCCGGCAGUCACACCAGCAUCAUCACCAUCCUCCACGUCCAACCCAAUGAUGAUGAGGUCCACAAGGCUAUGCCAAAGAGGUUGCACACUCGUCGCAUCACUUUGUUUCUCCAAUCCUAUGUUCUUCCAAUUCAUGUGAGCCAAACACCCAGGUUGACUGAAAUCCUAUAUUUCCAAAUGCUCUGUUUUGCACAUGCAUUCCUAUCCUAUUCCUGUGUUUUCCCUGUCCCUGCGUUUAUAGAAUCCUCCAAUUCUAAGGAACCCUUACAAUUUUACUUCAUUUUCAGAUAGGUGUCAAAGAAAACUCUGUGUGUUAUGUCCUGCUCCUACCGUGUCGUCAUCCACCCCACCUAAGGUGCACCAUCAACAGAAGCGUUCACUGCAGCAUAGGUCCCCCCUGCAGACUUUCUUUCGCCGCCUCAGAUCAUCUUCCCCGUUGCCGGCAGCCACGCCAACUGCAUUACCAUCAUCGACUGAGCAGAUGAACCUGAGGACUACACAGUUCCGGAAGAGAGGUCACAGUCUUUCGUGUUUGCUUAUGUUAUACAUCGGUUAUUAUUACCUACUACUUUAUCGUUCAAUCUUGAGUUUUGAAUUGCCCAUGGGUCUCAAAUCGAGCCAGCAACAAAUAGUAUAUGUCUACUAUCUGGUUCAUCUGGGGUCUUCUAUGUGGUUCAUGUUGGGUGGUCAACAAACAAUAGAUGAUCCAUUGUCUAUCUUUUUAAACUGAAGCUAUAAUCUACUUGCUAUCAUUACUUUUGGAUCCAUCCACUCAUUUGCUACCAUCAGUCUUGAUUUUUGCAUGCACCCCUUAGACCUUACAAAAUCUAGCUAUUUUUUUUUAUUAUGCAUGUCAGAUAUUGUACACAAUCGUAUUGAACAUGUAAAGAAAAAGAGAAGACCGUUGCGUGGGAAUAUAAUGUCAUGCAGACGCUGCUCCAUGGUGGGAGAAGUGCCCCCCCCCCUCCUGCAUUUUCAGAUUGUAUUCCAGAGCAAGAUAACUGUUCAGAUGGAGAUUCAGAAGGAGCCGACCACGCCUGUUUACCACCUGAGGUGUUUGCACUAACCUGGCAUGCUGAUGUUGGUCAUAUCAUGCAUAUGGCGCCUUGCAUUGAUUACAUUAUACAUCUUAUAUGUCAUCAGCUUAGUUUAGAUUUGCUUUGUGUGAAUGCCACCUGUUUGGUUUCUAUAUCAUACUCCCACCAUUCCUAAAUAUUUUUAUUUUUAGAGAUUUCAACAAGUGACUACAUACGGAACAAAAUGAGUGAAUCUACACUCUAAAAUAUGUCUAUAUACAUCCGUAUGUGGUAGUCCAUUUGAAAUCUCUAAAAAGACAAAUAUCUGGGAACUGAGGGACUAUAUGGGAAUUAUGCAAUGCCAUCUUCUUUAGCCAGGCAUCAUAUACGUGAAUCAUGCAAUGCCAUCCUGUUUAGCGAGUCAUCGUAUAUGUGAAUUGUAUCGUGCCAUAUUUUUUCCAUAAUGUAUUCCAUUUGUCAACAAUGUUUAUACAUUCAUCUACUCUUCCUGUGCAUCAGCCAUUUGAGUCGGUCAUGGGAAAAUCUGGAGUGAAAACAAGGUCUUCUAAGCAGUCACUCGAUGCAGAUUUCUUCCUGGUUAUAGAUAGCUCCUCAAAGGAGGAUUCAGAGACAGAUAACCAGUCGUAUCCCCCCCCCCCGAGGUGCAUGCUCUAACUUGGCUGGGUUAUAUUGCUCAUAUCAUGCAUAUGGUGUCUUGCAUUGCCAUGCCAUCUGCUUAGAUUAGACAUGCUUUGUGUGAAUGCCUCCUAUUUGCUUUCUAUAUCAGAUAUGUGAAUUAUGCAAUGCCAUGUUUUUCAGCCAGUUAUAAUAUAUGUGAAUUAUGCACCGCCAUGGAGCCAGGCAUCAUAUAUGUGAAUUAUCUCAUGCCAUCUUUUUUUCAUUACGUAUUCCAUUUGUCGACAAUCUGUGUAUAUUGAACUACUCUUCAUGUGUACCAGCCAUUUGAGCCGGUUAUGGAAAAAUCUGGAGUGAAAACAAGGUCUUCAGAGCAGGCAAUGGUACCUGUUGAAGCAUAUAUCUCGAUGGUUACAGGGAGCUCCUCGGAGGAGGAUUCAGAGACAGAUGACCAGUCAUAUAUCCCACCUGAGGUGUAUGCUCUAAGUUGCAAUGUUUAUAUUUCUCAUAUGAUGCAUAUGGUGUCUUGCAUUACUUAGUUUAGACAUCAUAUGCACAAUAUUGAAUUCUAUCUACUUAGUUUAGAGAUCACACAUGCGAGUGCCAGCUGCUUAGUAUAUGAAUCAAUUAUGUCAAUUAUAUCAUGCCAUCCUGUACACUUAGACAACAUGUAUGUGAAUUAUUUCAUCCCAACCUAUUUUAGAAAGACAUCAUAUAGUUUUGUCAUGUCAUCCUAUUUAGGUACUCAUCAUAUGUUGAAUUAUGCCAUUAUAUCCUGUUAAGUUAUCCAUCAUAUAUCUGAAACUGUGUCAUGCUAUCAUGUUUAGUUAGGCAUCAUAUAUGUGAAAUUGUGUCAUGCUGUCAUGUUUGGUCAGACAACAUAUAUGUGAAUUACCACAUCUGUCUAUCAUACAAUGUCGGUACGUUCAAUUUAUUUUCUUGUUUAUCAGCCAUUUGAAUUGGAGGGGGUGAUGGCAGUAUCUAAGGGAGCAAAAACCUGUUCUUCACAAAAGACAGUGCUACCCGUCGAUGCAGAUAGAACCAUGGUUGUACUGGCCCACAAACUAGCCCCACCACACAGAACCGACUCUUCCGGAUUGCACACUUACACCAUUGGGCAGAGAACCAGCUACAACCCAUCUAACCGCAACCCCAGCGGAUAGUAACCCACUUCUAGUUGACAAAGCACCAUGUCCACCACAGAGUACCCCCACACGAGCAGUUUGUAAAGCUACUGCAGUGCCCAAAGCACGAAGACCACCAUAGCUAACCCAAACUCCACACUGAAAGUAGAAGAGCAACUGUUCUCAGGUCAGAUUCCGUAGCUAUGGUCCAUACUCCUUUGCUGUUGCAUCACUGUAUUUACUCAUACCAACUACUUUCGAAUUUGAAGGAUCCAAUUGAAACUCCAAUGGCGCUACAGGUAUGUUUUAAACCAAUUUCUUUAACUGGAUUGUUGUUCUAACUUCUUGCUCUAUGUUGGUUUCAUUUUAAGUUGUAUAAACAGUUAUGUUCUCAUGUGAUGCACAUUACAAGUGCUGCCAAUGCUGUGUAGUUUCUCACACUUAUAUUUUGUCUAUGCUGUUGUGUCUUAAAAAUAUAUGAGUUGAACUGUGUCUCUAUCUUGAUUAGGGAACAUAAACUAGAAUGAUAUGGACAAUACAGUGACCAUAGUACAUAGAUAUAUGUUUGUUUCAUGAUGUUAUCCUGUCCACCUUACUACUGAACCGGUUUACCAAAAUGAGUUUCGUAUACUACAAGCUAAACCUGUGAUGUGUCUGCUUGUUUGUCUUGUAGUAUGCAAACGGAAUAUUGGAGAAGAGCACCCCACUAUGCAAUGGUAGAGAAAGUAAUGCAGAUAAGGUUCAAGAUAGUGAGACAACCAUGUUGGUCUCCAAGAAAGGUGAUAGAAACGAUCUUGUAGACAGUGAGAAAACCCCACAGUCCUGCAUUCAUGUAGUGUUCGAGUUACUGGCCAGUACCACUGGCACAAGCUCUUCGAACUCGCUGCCUGAAUCACUUCGGCUUCUUCAGUCUCAGCUACAAGCUGAAAGGCAUCAGUCAGCUGUGCUACGGCAAGAAGCCGAAGGACUUAGGAAGUCCCCACAGAAUUCAGAUGCGUACUUUCUUGUGCAACAGCAAGCGCUGGAGGAUUUAAGUGCCAAACAAGAGAAAGUUAAUAAGCUUGCUAAGCAUCUUGCCAGCAUUAUGGGUACCCAGGAUAUUGUUUCUUGAACUCUUCUGAAGUGGUUUCAGUUCUGGACUUGUUUUGCUGCGGCGUUUAUAUGCUGCUUUGUUCCCUGUAUUUGCACUGGUGGCGAACUUUGAUGCCCAGUGGAUGUAAUAUGUGUUAGCCUAGCAUAAGUUGCUUGCUUAUUUAUUUCCUUGUUGUCUUGUUUAUUUAUUUGCUUGUAGUCACUGCAGUUCUUUUUCCGCGGUUUGCUAGUGGCUGCAAUAACCUAUUUUUUAAAACUAGGCCACAAUAACCAUAGGCUAAUAUUUACUGUAGUGACACUGGGCCUCCUACGGGUCGUAGAAACAGUGGGCCUUAUACGGGCCGUGGAAACAGUGGGCCUUCUACAGGCCGUAGAAACAAUGGGCCUUCUACGAGCCGUAGAAACAAUGGGCCUCCUACGGGCCGUAUCAUCAAUGGGCCUUAUACGGGCCGUAUGAUCGACUGGCCAAACAUGGGCCAAUAACAGGCCGCAUUAUGGUCGUAAACAGGCUAGAGUUGGAAUCGUCCGUUCAUGGGCCGACCAUAAUGGGCCAUCAUUAAUAGGUCGUAUUUGAUGAUGCUAUGAAAAUGGCCCAACGUAUUAACGGACCACAAAUGGGUCGACUGUAACCACGGGUUGAAUUUGGCCCACAAGCAAAAAAUGACAGUAACGGGCCAUAAGUAAACGAAUGCUGGAAAUGAGCCCAAGAAUAAAUGGGCUCUGAGAAGACCGAAAGAUAACAUGGGCUGGAAACGGCCCAACGGAAUAACGGGCCGUUAAUGGGUAUAAAGUGAUACACUGUUCAUUAUGGGCCAGUUUCACCAUGGGCUGUUAAUGGGUGUAAAGUGAUACACUAUUCAUUACGGGCCAGUUUCACCACGGGCCGUUAAUAGGCCAAGAGUUACAUAGGGCCUCAUAUGGGCCGAAAGACGUCAUGGGCCAUACAUGGGCCAGAAGUGAAAACGGGCUGGAAUCAUAUUGGAUGGCCCAGAUGACGCUACUGGGCCUAAUUCGGAUAGGGCGUAACGGAUCUUGGGUUAGCGGGCUGUAAAUGGGCUAUAUGCGAAAAGGCCGUUAACAGGCUUUACAUAGGUCGGCCCGCCACCUUUUGACCAAGUCAAACGGGCCAGCCUUUUCACAGGAAUGGGCCUCUGUUGGGCCCUGCCACAUGUCGACAUAUUAUAGGUGCCUUUUGUCCAAUGAGUGGAUGACAUCUGUCACAACGAUGAGCCGACGCGUAUUUCCUCCAGCCAAUGAUGAUUUUACACGUGGAAAAUCCCUAUUGGUCAGGGCUGUUAACGGAUUAUCGGAUCCAAAACCCGACCCGAUAGCUUAACGGUGUUCCGUUACGGUGGAUGCCAUGUGUUGGUCACCCUUGACGAAAGCACUUCUGUGACGCGCGAUUUAUCGCCAUGGAUAAUUUUGGUAAUGUCAUGGAACACUUCUACGACAGCACAGGUAUGACUAUCUUGAUUCUGUCAUAAAAUCGUCAUGGAUGUACAUGCAUGACAGAAAACGCGACCUACUGUGACAAACAUGUAUCAUCACGGAAGUGUUUUUUUUCUUUAGUCUUUCACAUAUUUCAAAUCCAAACAUUGUCGAAACCAAAUCGGGCGAGUGGUAGCGCAAGCAUGUAAAUAACUUGUUAUGUCAUUUCACAAACUCACGUACAUACGUGAACUCGUACUUCUAGAGAGAAAAGAAAGAUUGGACCAUUUAUGUCGUGUCCAAGAAAAGAAACACGUGAAGCUUGCCACACACAUGUGAUGAAACCAUAGUUUUAAAUAGCCGAUCAUAGCCCCGUUAUAUAGCCUUGCCAGCAGGGUGCUCUAAAUGAUCUCAUGUACAAAUAGCCUAAUAUAGCUCCAUUAUAACUGAUUUGAAGGUCGAACGCUAUUUAUAGCAUAGCCUAUUUUAAAACACUGGAUGAAACCUACGUACCGAAGUAAGAAACAAAACAUACGUAAUGGCGCAUCACUGCCCCCCAUCUUUGCCCGCCCCGACGCCGGCCGCCAGCCAUCCCCAAAUGCCUCCUACAUACUAGUAUAACAUUGCAUCUUUUCCCAGAAGACCCUAGCGCGAGAGAGAAGAAGAUGGCCGCCGGCAGCUUGGCAAUGUCCGCACUACUCGCAGCGCUGCUGGCCUGCGUUCGGGUGGCCGUCAUCGCCGGUCAGUUCUCCCAUCCGAUGGCUUCUUCCUCAGUUGCAGGUGCAAGAGAUGCGGUGUGGUGCAUGAUGAUGCUAUAAGAUGAUGUUUGUGUCUGCUCCUUUGUCGCAGGUGGGACCGGCUCACCGUGCUUCGGGGAUAUCUGCGCCAUGGGCACCUGCAAGGAGCUGCAGGUGAUCAUCCCGUUUACCAACAUCUCUCCCUACGAGUGCGAGUGCAACCCCGGGUGGUCUUGGCCCAACGUCACCUUGCCGUUGUCAUCGGCAUUGCCAUUGCCGCCACACCUAUUUCUGUCAUGCACCAUCCCCACAUGUAAGCAAAAGCGCUCGAUAUGAUCACACCAUGCAUCAUACUCCCUCCAAUCCUAAAUAUAAGUUUUUUUAGACAUUUCAAAUGAACUACAACAUGCGGAUGAUGUAGACAUAUUUUAGAGUGUAAAUUCACUCAUUUUGCUUCGUAUGUAGCUACUUGUCAGAAUAUCUAAAAAGACUUAUAUUUGAGAACCGAGGAGGGAAAGGUGUGACUAUUCCCAUUAUAUAAUUAUUAAGGGUCUUGUAUAUUAUAUAAGUAAACCUAAAGGUUGUCCUUCAUUCAGGUGUAUCGACACCGGAAUUCACCUGCUACAAGCCCAAGCUGCCAAAUGCCGCCAACACAACCCUACUUGACCGUGCGUAAACUCUUCCAAACUGCCUGAUUCAAACCUUGAUAUAUAAUCACAGUACCAAUCGAGAUCGACUAGCUAGUUUAUCUGGCAAUUGACUGAUUUUUUUCCUUUCGCCUUCUUGUACGUGUCAGCCUGCUCAUACAACGAUUGUGGCUCGGAAGGCACGUGCGUGAGGGAAGAGGACCUCCGGUUCCGGUGCCAGUGCAACCCCGGCGCAACCAAUGUGAAAAGCAAACCUUACAUGCCUUGCAUCAAGAACUGUAAGUCCAUCCCGGCCGGCGCGGCCGUCUGAGAAAAGAAAUUGUCUCAACAUUCUGAGUACCUUUUAUUUCUUGUUGUUUGUUUUGAGACCUGCUGCUCGAGCGUGUGUAGGUGCCAUCGACGACAAGGGCUGCCCAGUUUCCUCUUCAACGGCGCCACCUGGUAAUGAUCACCAAUCAUCUGGACCAACUGCUCCAUCCAUCCAACUCAUUCCAUUCCGCCCUCCGUCGAGAUCGUCACACGUACAGCCUUGCAUGCAUCGAUCCACGCGCCUUCCAUCUCCGUCCAGCCAGCACGAACGAAGAGAGGACAUAUGGACUGCAUGCUAACUAAUGGCGCUGUGUAUUUUGCAGGCUCUGUUUCUUUGAAGAACCGGCUGCGGCUGUCGCUGCUGCUGGCCUCGCUUGCGGCGCUUCACGCUGUGACUGUGUGAUCAAGUGACAGUAGUACACUGUGUGUGGCCUGUGAGUGAUACGGACGUGCACGGCUAGCUAGUACCGAGGGGGCUGCACUGCAACGUACGUACGCUAUGUAUGGUGUGUACUUCGUAUGCCAGUUCACAAGACAAGAUAGACGAGAGCAAAGCAAAUUAUGGGGUUUGCAUAACCCGGUUUUGCCAAAUUAAUUUUAGCAAAUAAUGGGGUGUGCAUAACCUGGCACAAUUUUAUUUCUAGUGAGAAACAUCAAAUAUACAUCACAAUAGCUAUAUGUAAUUUUGUGGGAGGAGUAAUGUUUCAAGGAGGAAGAAAGUUGAAGGAAGAAAAAAGAAGGACGGCCGUUGGAUCUCAAUCCAAUGGCCUACACAACUGACUUACCCAAAAUAUAUUUUUUAUAGAUGACUUAUGUGUAGCCAAUCCAUACAUACAUACAUACACGUACACCAAUGCAGAACCGGGCAUUAUCACCGGUUCGAAAGGCCCUUUAGUACCGGUUCAUACGAGCCAGCGCCGGGGAUGUGGAGACCUUUAGUGCCGGUUUGUAACACCAACCGGUACUAAAAGGUUUGGGGUUUUGGUUUUAUUAUUUAUUUUUUUUCUUUUAAUUUUGUGUUUUCCAUUUAAUUUAGAGAUUGUUUUUACAUUAUAAUGAGUUAUUAAAUCACUAGGUGAAAGAACCACGGAUUAGUUUUAACUGGAUGGAUCCUAAGUGAUCAAGUAAUAUGGAUUAUCCAUAAUACUUGAUCACUUAGGAUCCAUCCACUUAAACUAAUCUGUGGUUCUUUCAUAAAUGAUAUAAUAACUCAUCAUCAUAUUAAUAUAAAAACUCUUGCAUCAUAUCAUCACCAACAACAUUAGCUAAUAAUCAUCAUAGUCAUUACCACUAUUUAAUCAUCAUAGUCAUUACCGCUAUCUAAUCACCACCAACGCUAGCUUAAAGGAAAAACAUUCACUUGUACCAGAAGCAAAGAUAUCAUCGAGUUCAACAUGGUCACAACAUUAUAAGCGUUCAUAAGACCACAAAAGCAAAGAUUAAGUUCAGGCGAAGAACACGGACAUGAGAGGACAAGUACUAAGAGUAGGAACUAGCUAAUCACUCCUCCUGCUCUCUCUCUCAGGUAAAAUAGCAUAGAACAUGUGUAGUUCUCCUGAUUUAUCAUAUUGGAGCAUGCAGAUUAACCUGUCUCCUAAUCAUGGGUUGCGCUUCGUCUGAUUAUUGCUGCCCCCUAGUAGUUCUCUGCGAUCCUUCACAAUUUUGCUCCAGUCUUUCACUAUUAAGCAUUCCUCGGUUUCAGAAAUCCUGAAUGCACUCAUGUGCGAUGUAGGAUGUCUUGGACGUAAGCUAACCAUUGGCAUGCGACCUUUAGUCUCGGUCCACUGAGGCACAACUAUCAUCGGGAGUCCCUGUUGAAGAACAUCGUAUAGUAACAUACUUAGCAAUGAAGUUGAGCUUAAAAAUAAUGUAUGCAAAAGAUGCAUUGAGGACAAAUAGUAUAAAUCUUGCCAUCUUUCCUAAAUAGAUAUGACCGUAGUUCAAUACGAACACUAUUGAUCACACGUUUUGAGUAAUAAGAUUUUCAAGUCCAGGAAAAUAAUUUCUCUUGACAGCAUCAAGAUCCUCAAGCCAUGAAACAUAAUGACUUAUCUCCUCGCAGUUUAGUUCAGCCCUGGGACAAUGGACGGUCCUGUUUACCAAGCGCUGGACAUGUUUGCUUGAAUGGAAAUAAGUUGUCAAUAGAAAUUAGUUGGUAACUAUUUUUGAAUAAACAAUAUCGAAAACAUAAAUAUGGUUGAGAAACUCACAUAAUGGUAGAACUGGAGGCGUCUGCACAUCGACCCAGAUGUCGAUAUUACCUUCAAUAUCAUCUUUCGGACGAAUAUCAAAGGUGAUAACCAUAUCAGGCUCAAAUGUAUAAUCCUUGCAUAGUACUUGCCAGGUUUUGCAUUCAAAAUAGGUGUAGGUGUCUGCAUUGUAUAAUUUUGCGUAGAAAGUAUAAUCAUGCCCGGUCUUCAAGUAAACUCUCUUUACCUCCAUAGUUUUCAUAGGACUGAAACCAAUCUUAUCCAAGACCAAAAUUCUUGCAUGGCAGGGGAUACACUAGUAGAAUGGUAAAAUUUUAAAAUUAUAAGUCGAAACAAAUGAAGCAUAAAUCAUGCUUAAUUAUGAAAAAAGACUUGUCGUUGUGACUUACUGUAUCCACUUCGAAUGUCUCAUCCAGGUUGAUGCUGAAGCCUCCCAUCAACUAGGAAAUUUCUAUCGCACAGGCCACGCUCGUCUUCAUAGUAUUCGCACAUACCGAAAUCCUUUUCGUCGUCAGACAUUUCCUAUUUUCAUAGUUAAAACAUUAAUUGAUAAACACUUACUAGCUAGUUCUAUUAAUUUAACUAGUUCUAUUAAUUCAAGUAGUUCUAUUAAUUCAACUAAGCACUUACUAAAAGUAAACUAGUUCUAUAGUAAAGUGUUAAUUAGAUCAUCAAAUCUCAUAUACCUAAAUUUAAUACAUCUAAUUCAUCUAACAUUAAUAUAUCUAAUUCAUCUAUAACUAAAAGUAUAAAUUUAGCCGGCAGCCACACACCUCCAAUCCGGACUCUCAAAUUGUCAAAUACAUGCAAAUCAAAACACAUCCAUCAUACACGCCAAUGUCGCAAGUACAUUACAAGAGUUGGUAGCGAAAAUACAUAGUUCUUAAACAAUAAUUGAUAUUAAGUGCACAACUCAACAGUAGCUCUAUGGUCUUUAUUGUGGGCCCACAUAUGCUCCCCAACGUCACUGAGUAGCUGCAUGUGCACCUGAUGAUCUCGAAGAUUCUGAUGCAUCCGCAGAAAGUUCAUAAGCUAAUUUGUAUCUUGAUCUUUCAGGAUUUGGACUUGUUCUCCAGACACUUCAUAAUCAUUGGUUUGUGCUACCCCAUCAUCCCCAUCCUUGACAAUCAUAUUGUCCAGAAUAACACACAUGCCAUCGGCUAUCACAAAUUUUCGGAUUCCCACAUCAUUGUAGCUCCACGAACAAUUCCCCAACGAGUUUGAAGCACUUCGAAUGCCCUCUCCACAUCCUUCCUAGUUGCUUCCUGCAUUGUUGCAAAGUGUCUUUGUUUGCCGCCUUGUGGUUGUAUGGUCUUCACAAAAGCCGCCCACUAAUGAUAGAUGUCAUCGGCAAUAUAGUAUCUCAUGUCGUUGUGAGAAUCGGGCAUUCCAAAGAAAUCAUGCCAAAUAGUCAUGUGAUGUCAAUAUGAUGGCGGCCUCUUUGGUGCGACCUUGGUAUAUUCCAUGCAAAUCUUUGGGGCAGUUCUGCCAUUGCCAAUGCAUGUAAUCAGUUAAUCCGAGCAUUCCUAGAAAAUUGCCUUUCCAAUAGCCAACAUCUUUUAUGCGACAGACAUGGGCACUGCGAGGAAUGUGGGGAGAGGGAACGGCCGAGUGGAGGCUAAUAGGAUGGUGGUCUUCACUCAACUUACAUAAAAAAUUCCUCAAUCUCAGCUUCCAAUAAAAAUUUCCUCAAUUUCAUAACUCUGAUGGUAAUUAAGAUAAAGUUCAUAUCAAGAGUACAAACAUAUAAUUUAGCAAAAAAUGUAAAUGCUUAUAUUUUACGAAUUGUAGGGCUUUACCCUCACCCAAAGGAAAGGGAGCCCUUCCAAAAAUUCCUUCCAAAAAUUCUCAGUGGCCCCGAAGGGCCAAAGAGGGGGUUUGAAAAUAGUUUUCAACCAGCAAUUGACGCACCUCGUUAUAACCUCACUAGCUGCGUCAUUGCCCCAAGCGCAAAGAUGGGAUUAACAGUUCCCCUGUCACGCCAUCUUAUACCCAUCUCCACCUCUCCUGCCUCCUCGCCCACCGAUGUGGGACAAAAGAACGUGCAAAAACCAGCUGUGCACGUUUCGCUCUUCUCAUGGGCCGCUAGUAUACACAAAGCCCAUUUCUCUCUAUCUUACGCUAAUCGGCCUGCGGUAAACAAGAGCUAAGCGAAUGAUGUUCUCAAAGAAAAUAAAAAACUGUUGUCUCAAAAAAAAAAACUGAAGCCAGUGAGUUAACAGAUUUUUUUUUUUGCGGCGUAAGUUAACAGACUUGACAGUUGACACUAUCACUUUUUGCUCAGGAAAAUGGUAACACCAUGAUUUUUCAUUGAUAAGAAAACAUAUCCUAAACUUUCCAAAAAUGAUAAAUCCGGAACGUUCGGGGUUUAAUCAUGGCAAUUCAAACGUUUUCGAUGUCAAGUUUAGUUGACACGAGGCUGAAAGUUUAGCUGGCAAGGCAAUUUUCUUGCAAAAAGCAGAUUUGUCAUGCUUACCAGCUACACUUGCCAUGGUCAACAAAUAUAAAUUGCCAAAAAAACGUUUGAUUUGCCAUAGUCAGAGCGAAACUAUGAUACAUCAACGGGUAGGCAUAGUUCGCAUGAGUUGAUCAUUGUAAGUCUCAAGCAUAUAACAGCAUCCUCAAGGCAAACAAAAACCGGGGUAUGGAAAGUGAUAGAAAAAGUAUGAGAAAAACUCCGACAAAAACCAUGUACUAUUAUACUUAUUCCUUACACAAUCAGUAAACCUCCUGGUAAAGUAUAAGAUAGACUUUACGAGACUAGAAAGAAUAUAGGGGAGCUCUAACGACUAGCCUCUUCCGCUCAUCUCGUCUGUGUAGGGGAGCACAGGAGGCCCGAGGCGUCCGCGCCGACCACAGCCAGCUCGCAUAUGGUACAAAGCUGCCCUUCAAUGGCAGGAACAAACCGGGAUCCGCAGUAUGGGCACGAGAUGUCCUUUUGGCCGCGGUAGAUGGGAACAUACGUCGAGCCACAGACGACGAACGGAUUUCUGUAGUCAUAGUUGAGCUCAUGGCUGUCCUUCUUGCCGUUGCACUGCUGCUGCACCUGCCGAGCCUUCUUCGCUUGGACCUCAUUAGGGCUGUUCUCAAGGAGCAGCCUCGCAAAGUGCUCUGCGGUCGCAAAGUUCUUCUGCUUGUAGCAUAGAGCCAUGGCGUUCGAGAGCACAAGGCGCAUGUGAACCCUCUGGAGCUUGCAGUUGGUGAAGUAGGCCGCCAGUUCCUGUUGCCGGUUGACGUUGUCCUUCAAUUCCUUCCUCUUGAGUUCCAUUCUUAGACCAAGAACAUAUUCCCUCACUAUCUCGAUCAACUCCUUCACUUCAUCAACUUCUCUCCGCGAGUCCACCACGAUCAAGGGAAUGGUAUGCAAGAUGCUGAGGAACUGUCUCAGCGCUUCUGGGAACUUUCCCUCGGUUGUGGCUUUGUAGGCUGCCUUGAGUCUGUCUUCCAUUUGUGAGAAGGUGAAAACUAGUGAAGGAGGGCCCCUCACGUUAGGACUUGAGGACUCACUCCAACCUUUCUCAACAGCAAUUGAUAUAACGGGAGCAGUUGCAAGUGCGCGAAGAUAUGAAUGACUGCCCAUAUGAAGAUCGAGAAACAUGGGUUUCAGGGGAGCAAAGUUCUUGAUGCCCAACUGGCGGCUGAGCAACCUCAUUGCAGUGUCGAAGUUGCCUGCUGCUGCAUGCUCCCCAGCAAGAGAAGAUUUCUGAGUCCAAAUUUGGCUGACAGGCAUUCCUGGUGUAGGAGCAACAAACACAGUGGAGCGAGCAUUUCCAGCAGCUUUUGGGGUCUCAGCUUCAGGCAAUUCCAGAUCUUCAAGAUCCCAACCACCUUCCUCACCAUCCUCCUCGUUCGCUUCACCUUCCUCGGGAUCAAAACCAUCACCUCCAUUUGCCACUGCAUCACUUGCAUCCACAAUAUCCAAGUCCUCAUCACCCCAGUCAGCACCAGCAGCUUCAUCAUCUUCCUCAACUUCUGCUCUCCCAGUAGCAUCCAGUCCACCCUCAAAUAUGCCACGCAUCACCCGGAGCAAUGGCCAAUCAACGCUGGAUAUGAGGGGUGCGGGCGGAAUCAAGAGUGAGCGAGUUUUUCCUUCAGGUAGAGAAGGAACAUUCUCACCCAACUCAGCAGCAAGCCUUUCAGCAAUUUCAGUGAGACCAUGAGUGGCAGCAGUGACGUAGGCAAGAGGAAGCUGUCCAGCAUUCUCCAGGAUCUCAGCUCGCUUCCUAGCAUCGCCAAGAUACAAUGCAUUGUGGAACUGACCCAUCAAAUUGUUAUUCUGUCCGGCAAUUUUGCACAUGAAGCCAACCUUGUCCAUGUAACCAGUAAUAAGAUACAGAAAUGUCAGCCUCUCAAAAUUCUUUGUCCGCUGGUAUGCGUAUUCCACAAUACCAACAUUCCCCUGCCUCAGGGCCUCAAUUCCCAAUCUGUACCAGUGAUCCUUGUCAUCAAUCUCUUUUGCAGAAGCCACUGCGAUUUGGAUGUUACCACUUUCAAGAGCUAGAUUGAAUCUUGUCUUUUCAUCUUUCACAAAGUGGAGAGCAACUUCUGGAAACCCUUUCUGUUGCAAAUAUGAAAUCACUGCCUGCCCACACAGCUGUGAGCUCUUAAUCAUACUCAUAACAUGGUCAUAACGUUUCCGGAGAAGGGCGAGCUUGAAAAUGUAUUCAGAAGCAUCAACUGUUAUCAGCUUGUUCUUUCCAUCACGAUCAAGACAGAAAAUGUUGUUCCCAAUAACCCUUGUUAUGUAAACAGGGACAUCAAGGGUCUUUAUGAUCCCACUAUCUCCAUUGGGAAGACAGUAUUUGAUAUGGUUCAAAGUAGAGUAAAUAAAAACACCGUUCUCAUCCCAGGCACCACUUUUCACACGAAUAGUUUCAUGCAGUGUAGAGUGAUGGACAAGCUUCUUGCUAGCUAUAACUACUGCAUGCUUGCUCAGCAGUGCAACAUACUCCAUGUCACUGGACCAAACUACAUAUUUAACACCAGCUGACUGGAGUUCACCAAGAACUAGCCUUUGUUGUAGAUCAAAGAUGGUCACACGAUCUUCAGCUUUGCACAACAAAUUACCAGUCCCAGCAUAAUAAAUUGCAUCAGUCGCAAUAGGAAGAGGACUCUUCUUCACAAUUUCGUUCUUAAGAUUCUUCACCAAAACUUGAUUGCUACUCUUCUCAAGGACAGCAAACCUAUUCCGUGCCACAAAAACAGCCGAGCCACCAGCUCCCUUCUUUGCCUCUUGCAAAUAAUCAGCCCUGCCAGCAGAAUCUUUAGGAACAAUGUACAGAUCAUAUGAGCCCCCGUCCACAUCAGAGCAGAUCAACACAGCAUUUUCAGUUGGACUAUAAGAUAGUGUCCUGGGUGACUGGUUCAAGCUGACAGAUCCUGGUCUUCUUAUUGGAGCCACCUGAACUUCCUUCUGGGUGGAGUACUCAAAGAACCGGAGGAAUCUGUCCUUCACAUAGAACACAGUAUCAGCACUCACGCUGAAAGCUGGGCGUUCCCUCUCUAAUUUAAACACAAUCAUGCCACUGUCAUGACCAGCAGCAAGAAGAUUCAUUUCAGGGUGGGCAGCAAGGAUCCAGAAACGGUCAUGUUCCCGCCUAAAUGUCUGAAUACCAGUUCGCUUUGUGGCAUCCCAAAUGCGAAUGCUUUUGUCCUCUGAGUUGGACACAAUGAUGUCUUGCUUCGCAUGGAACAUCACACACGACACAUUAUUCAUGUGCCCCCUCAAAGUAUCAACUUCCCAAGCCUUGGUAUCUGUCAAAAAAUAUCAAAUAUUAUUUUAUUGUUUGUUCAAUCCAACAAAUACUCAACAAAAAAAUAAUUAGUUCUAGACUAGACCUUCAAUUGACAUUUCUCAUGUUGAACAAACAAGAGUAAUUUCACAAUUUGUUUAUAAUUUGUUCAGUCCUACCAAUAUGCAGAGUGUUUUACUGGAUAUUAAAUGGUUAUAUGCAUGUAAUCACUCAGAAUUAACAAAGAAGUAAUUUGAUAAUUACGAAACAUGUUUCUUAAGUUCAGCUAGUUUUGAUGACCACUGAUAAUUUACUUGAUAUUACUUAACAUAGACUGAGGAGUAAACAGUAAUAGGUUCUGUACAAGUAAUAUCACUUAAACAGAAUCAAAAGGAUUCAAAAUAAAAUGACUAAUUCACAAGCAUUGUUUCAAACUGCCAUACAAAAGAAUGAAAUGAUGCAUACAUAAAUAUGUAAUUAUUGUUUAGAUACAACAAAAUAAAACAAACCAGACAUAAAUAGUUAAAGAAGUGAUUGCAUUGUUACCAUUCAUUCUCCACAGCUUCACUUGCCGGUCAUCAGCCCCAGAAACAAUGAGUGGCAGUGUAGGGUGAAAUGAUGCCCAGUUGACACCACGGUCAUGGCCUUCCAAGACAUAUUUCACAACCGCAUCGACGCCCCCAAACAGAUCAGUGUUCAUCUGAGUGAGACGCAGGAUGUCAUCUGCAGGUGACACCGUCUUCUUCCUCAGGGCACCAAUAUCCCAAACACGGACAGUCUGAUCUAGCGAUGCUGACACAACCAGGUCCUCCUUGGGGUGGAAGGACGCGCACAUGACAUAGUGAUUAUGCCCCGUGAGCACAGCCACACAAGUACGUGACUGCCAGUUCCAGAUCCGGAUUGUCUGGUCAUCACUGGCACUCACGAUCCAUGGGUACUCAUGGUGGAAUUGAACAGUACGAAUGUAGUCGAGAUGCCCAGUAAGCGUAAACAAGCAGCGGUGUGUCUUGUAAUUCCACACCUUGAUCUUAUAAUCAUCACCUGCAUUGCAUCACAACCAAAAAACUUAGUUCAACCUUUUCAUGUUCCAACCUAUGACUCACUGCUAAGCUAGUAACUAAAACAUGAACCAGACUAAGCAGAGUGCACCCCAGUGUCACCAGCCACACAAUCCGAUCAUGGUUUUGUGAAUUCUAGUGAGCAUGCAUUGGAUUAUUUUACCACCUACUCUACAUUCAUUUUCAACUGGCUGAAAAUCUUUGGUGACACCAGUCACUAAUAACAACCAAAUGGCACCUGAGGCGCCAAGUAAACAAUUCUAGAAACAGCAAAGAUCAUAAAGUGAGCACUAGAUCCGACAAGCCCAUCCUACCAACUUAGGAUUCGUUAACAACCACCGGCACACAUCAAGCGCGAUCUAAUAGCAGCGCCGACGGAUCACACAGACAUCUAACGGCCUCGAAACUCGCGCGCAGAGCCUCCAAUCCAAGGUAAGGCUCGGGGCCGCAGCGCGCAGCUCUGUAUCAAUCCGCAAAUGGCAAAUCACGUAUGAGCCGAUCGAGCCGAGCGGGAUCUAGCAGGGCGGGGCAAGGGCAGUACCUCCGGAGACGAAGAGGGGCUGGGUGGCGUGGAAGUGGACGCCGCGGACGGGGCCGUCGUGCUCGUCGAAGCGGUCGAGGAGGGUGCCCAUGCGGUAGUCCCACAUCUGGAUCACCCCGCUGUGGAGGCUGGCGAGGAUCCAUGGCCGCCGCGGGUGGAAGCUCAGGCCCUUGACCCGGUUGCUCUUGGUCUCGAACUUGGUCAGCAUCUUCCGUUCCCCCGCCGGCGGCGCGUCGUCCCCGGCGACGGCGGCGGCGGCCCCUGGCCCUGGCCGCGGAGAGGAGCGGGGGAGGGGUGGGNNNNNNNNNNNNNNNNNNNNNNNNNNNNNNNNNNNNNNNNNNNNNNNNNNNNNNNNNNNNNNNNNNNNNNNNNNNNNNNNNNNNNNNNNNNNNNNNNNNNNNNNNNNNNNNNNNNNNNNNNNNNNNNNNNNNNNNNNNNNNNNNNNNNNNNNNNNNNNNNNNNNNNNNNNNNNNNNNNNNNNNNNNNNNNNNNNNNNNNNNNNNNNNNNNNNNNNNNNNNNNNNNNNNNNNNNNNNNNNNNNNNNNNNNNNNNNNNNNNNNNNNNNNNNNNNNNNNNNNNNNNNNNNNNNNNNNNNNNNNNNNNNNNNNNNNNGGGGGGGGGGGAGGGAGGGAAUGGCCGAUGGGUGGGGAGGAGGAAGGUGCUUUGGAUCUCGGGCAAGAGGAGAUCUGGGUUUCCAACGCUGCUGAGGUGGUGAGAGGCGGCGCCGCCGUUGGAUUCUGGGGAAAGGCGAUCUGAGCCGUCGGAAAUGGUGCGCCCGAGUUGUCAGUCACGCGCUCGCUUGCCGCAAUGCUAAGAUAAGCGGUUUGGCUAUGACCAAUUUUUGGUAGAGUACGAAUUAUAAAUUUCAUGCUUAGAUAAGUGCUUGCCUCUUAGCAAAUUCUCCCUCUGUAAAUAAAUGUAAGACACUCUAGGUAACUAAAGUACCUACGCAAGGUUGAGGAGGGUGCCCAUGCCGGAAAUGGAGUAUUUUGUUUAUUUUCUAGAUUGGAUUUUUUAAAUAUAAAAUAUUGAGUACAACGUGUACUUUCAUAUCUACGCAUCCACCAUCACACACACACUUCGUAUAAUGCCUUCCAAAGACUGCAAUCGCGGAGCUUUAAGAUUGAUCGAUGUCGCCACUAGCAUCUCGAUAUCAUGAAAGUAUCACCUCCUACUGAAAAGAAAAUGCUUUGAUCGAACAAUAAGAUGGUAAAAGCUAUGAUUAGAUCCCUUGUUGGCUCGGAGUACAAGUACCCUCCUAAACAUCCAACUAUGGAUUGGUUCUCGUGUGGAAUGGAAUUUGUAUCGGAAAUUACAUCGGUACAAAUUCACAUAAAGCACCAAAUGGUAUUUGUAUUGGUGCUUAUUCCAACAUGAGUGCUAAGAACUACUACUCCCUUUGUAAAGAAAUAUAAGAGGAGUAAAUUAAAUGAUAUUAUAUUUCUUUACGGAGGGGGGGAAUUAAAGUGGAAAAGGGUCCCACGCCCUAUACGUCACUGGCGAGAGACGGGAAGGGGAGGGGCUCACGGGUAACAAAAUGAGAGGGCGUUGGGGGAGAGGGGCGGAGAGUUGAUCCGUUCUAAUAAAAAUACAUGCAUCAUGUUGGUCCCUUCUCGGGCGGUCUUGUUCCCUCUUAUCUUCGGUAUCCGGUUUGUUCUUACUCUGUGCUUCCAUUCAGAUUUGGGAGCAGGUCAUCUGGAAGUUGAAGCAAGCUGGUUUGGAGGAGGCCCAUGGCUUCAUGACUAGUUCCCGGUGUCUCUCUCAUCUCGAUUUGUUGAUGUGUUAUUUUUGCUUUCUUUUGUACACUGGAGAGAGCUCGCCUUAUAGUGAUAAACAUGAUGGGAUCAUAUCCAGCUUCUCUUCGACAUCCAUCGUAGCCCCCUUCCAGGAUUUUUGGGCCUUGAAUAAUUCUCUCAUGCUUUGACCCAAACCUUCAAUUUCCACUCGACGGCCUCUACUUUAUCUAGGGGCGCUUCCUCGGUGAUAGGCGAUGGUGAUCAUCCAAGUUGUUUGAGGCCAAGCUCGUCUUCUCCCUCCAAACCCUAUAUGGAAGGAUUUGCUAAUGGACUAUAGUGUUGUUGCUCUUCAACAUUUGAUGGUUACGACCUCGGGCUUCUGUUCAUCGGCGUUGGCAGUCAACCCCUUGGUCGGCGGACAACCAGACUCAUCAGCACUUGUCCGCCUUCAUGGUGGCCUGGAGGUCGACGUGUCGCUUUCUUUGCGAUAGUUGUUUACACGUGCCUCUUCAUGGCAAAGUUGUAAUUCAAUUUUUUUAUGUUUUUUAUUUUGCUUGUACCGUGCAGCAUUGAUCUUAUAAUCGUCUGGGUUCUGGCCCAGUUUGCAAUAGGCCUUUCCACUAUAACAAGAGGGACCUCCUAUUUUAGCGCGAUGCACUCGGGCGAACAAGCCAACGCGCGCCCUUUAAGGCCGGCCCAUGUGAGGGACGGGGCACCCAUUUUUUCUAUGUGUUUUUCUUUUUAUUUUCUGUAUUUUAUUCUUCUUUAUAAUAAUUUGGGAUUUCAAAAUAUAUUGGAAAUUGUUAAAUUUGGAAAAACAAAUGUUCAAUACAUCAUAAAAAAUUUGAAGAUCCAAAAAAUGUUCGCAUAUUCCAAACUUGUUCAUGAUUUUGAAAGAAAUGUUCAGGAAAUCAAAAAGAGUUAAUGAUCUAAAAAAGUGAUUGCGCAUUCAAAAAAUGUUUCCAAAUUUGAACAAAUAACCGAAUUCAAAAAAUGUUCGCUGAUUCAAAAAAUGUUUACCAUUUCAAAAGAAUGUUCACAAGUUUCAAAACAAUGUUCACAAUUUUAAAAAAUGUCACGAAUUUGUAAAAAAAUGUCACGUAUUGAAAAAAUCUUCAUGAUUUCAUAAAGAUGUUCGGGAAUUAAAAAUGGCCGUGUAUUUGAAAAAAAUGUUUAUAAAUUAAAAAGUCAUGAAGUCGAAAAAUGCUCAUGAUUAAAAAAAAUAUUAAGAAAAAAAUGAUCACGAAUUUAAAAAAACUAUAUUCUAAAAAUGUUCUUGAGUUUCAAAAAAUAUGUUCACAAUUUCAAAAAAUGUUCACGGAUUUGUAGAAAAUGAUAGCAAAUCCAAAAAAAUGUUCAUGACUUCAAAAUAUUUCUUGCGAAUUUGACAAAUGUUCAUGAUUUCAAAAUGAUGUUUGCGAAUACAAAAUCUUCAUGAUUUCCAAAAUCUUUUACGAAUUCAAAUUUUUUUCACAAUUUUGAAAGAUGUUUGCAAAAAGAAAAAAGGAAAAAGGAAAGGUAAAAACGAAAAUAAAAAACAAACAUGAAAAAAACUUAAAAAUAAAUAAAAAUAAAAAUGAAAGACAAAAAUGAUAAAAAGAAAGAAAAAAUAGGAGAAAAAACAAAGGAAAACAGGUUCAAGGAAGGUUCUAGAACCUUCCCAAAUCAGUGGAAAGAACCCAGCAUGGGCAGGCCCAUACAGAGGACAUACGCAUGUUAGGGGCACGCACGACCUAUGCGCCAAAUAGGACCGGCCCUCUAUGGAGGGCAAGUUUGCCAGAAAAAACAUGAGUGCUUGACAUGGGGUUUGAUCCAUGUCGAUCAUGGUUUUAUUCUAAGAAUGGAUUUUUCCGCCGAUCUUACACUUCUAGACCAAGAUCUAAGAUUCUUACAUCAUGUUAUUUGCUAAAUCUUGGUCGUGCUUCUUAAAAUUGUGAAACUACAAAAAUUCAUACACACUCGUAGGUUCGGCGACUUCCCUACCGCAUAUUUGUCCGUAGGGUGAAAACCUCAUAUCUCAUAUUUGCCAAAUUGAAUGACAGUAGCUGCUCACUGCUCACGGCGUCCCUCCCUCCUUGGAGACCUUGACAUGAUAUGCUGUUGUGAGGAGGGAGCGUCGCCUUGGAGUCCUGGACAUGAUAUGGUGUUGUGAGGACCAGUUUGAGUAUGUCACUAUUGCCACUUUGGGAAAGCAUCACUGGUCAGGGUGGUUGUCAAUGUUCUCUUCCUGUUCAGAUAGGCGUACAUCUAUCGGAGGUUUGCCUUGCUAGUGCAGCUUUUUGGUCUGACGAUGCUUCAAGUUUUGCAAAUUAAGUAUAGUACAACAAGUUUUUCAUCAACGGAUCAUGUUGUUCCACAUAAUACUCCCCCUUCGGCUUCAUCCAACAGUGUGUGCACGUAAAUGAUCGUCCCUCUAUCUUGUGGUAUACCACGGCAGCGCGUGCGGGCUACAUACAAUAUAUACACCAACAUUGAGUGAAUGAUUCAAUCAACAAAUUGGGCAAGAGGAAGCAAAACUUACGGUCUCAUCCUUUGCCACGUGCAAUGGCCAGCUUUUGCCUCGAGCUGACGAACCAUGUCGCAAUACUUGGUGACGCUGGCCUCGAUAGUGUACCGGCAAUACGAUAACGACCUCAAGUUGCGUAGUUGAAUGAUGUACAUGUCGUAGGGUGCAAUGUGCUUUCGUGCGUGAAACUUUUCAUGCAUAUGCUGCCAGAAAGGCUCCCCUCUACUCCUGCCUACGUAAUCCGUGAAUACGGCCAAACACGCAUCGGAUAACAACUCAUCCUCCAUGGUCGAGUAGCUCACCAUCCUUCGUACUCUAAAAAAUGACAUAGCAUUUGAAAAAAAACUCAAUGACAUUUGACCAAACACCUACGGGUGUGGUGUCCGGGCAGAGUGUACCUGGAUACGAACAGCUCGAGGGUGGACAACUCCGUUGUAAUGGCGAGCGAGCGCGUCGGUGCUGGUUGCGGACGCCCGGCAAUGCCUCUGUGGCGGGAGGAGAUGUACAACGGCGGCGGCGGAGGCGGAGGUGGAGGAUGCGGAUGCAAAGUAAGGGGGAGAAGGAGUGAGUGGAAGGUAAUGAGACCGGAAGGGGGAAUGGGUGGGCCGGGGGUGUCUGUUGUCCGGACUUCCGUAAACCUCCCCUCACUGUCUCUAAUUUGCGGGAGAAAACGCAUCCGGACCGCGCCUUGGACCGAUACAGGCCCGCAUUGGAUGCCUUCCGCGGUCCGUACGGUUCGCGGGAGAUGCCCUUAGGUUCACGGGAGAUGCCCUUAGGCUCUCUUCUGGCGGAACUUGUUUUGCACGGUAUGUUUUUGUGUUUUCUUAUAAAGCGUGCCAAUCCUCUUUGAUUUUUCAGGAGGAAAAGAACAUUCGUGGAUAGGUUGAGGUGAAGAACUAGGAAAGUGAACUGAGCGCACGGCAGUUCGACGAAGCGGUCGUAGCUUCACGACGAAGAUGCGCCCAUACGCUGUCGUCCCUUUCCCAAGUUGCGGUUUGAAACAGAGUAACAGAGGGUUUGAAUCACCAAAGAGAUCGCCCAAGGUUGCUGUAGCAGGGGAGAAAAGUGAGGCGGCAGAAAGAGCCAUCGGAAUACACCAUCACUGAAGCUUUGCCGAUGCAGCCAAGCCGCACACAUUCCCAGCUAACUCGCGUUUCUUUCAGAGCAGGUACUAUGAUACAUCUCCUUUUAUUUCUUUUGAUGACUAGUAUUUUCGGACGGAGGGAGCAAGAUCGAAGCCAUUUCGCUCAACUCGAACGAGGAAGAAGACGACGCGAGCAACUCGUCUCGAACUCAGCACCGCAUGGAGCCAUGGCUGCCGUCACCACCGUUGGGAUGAUGGAAUGAAAUUGGAUUGAACCGCUCUUUAACCAGGGAGAUGAUAAAGCACCGGAGCCCGGGCCAUGUCGUGCUCACCCAUCUCUCUCUACCUGCAUUGAUGCCAGCCAUGAACAUUCUUGAAACUGCCUAGGACUGCUACUCGCCUAGUACUUCAGCGUCGCCAUCGCCAGUACAACAGCAUCCGAUCGCCGGCUGAUCCGUUUUCUCUCCGGGGACGCCUCCCCGCGUCAGCAGAUCACCAGAUUCUGUCGUGCACCAGCAUCUCGUUCGCGGUCCAGAGAACACCGUGGCGGAGGCAAGGCAUAUCACGCGUGAUCCCAGUCCUUGCACAAGGGACAACAUGCUCCAUUGGGCAAGCAAAUGUUUGAAAUCAUGCAAGAAAUGGAGCAGCGUUCACUUGCAAAUGCAUUUUAACAGCUACUGGAGAGCAGUGUUAACAUCACAGAUCGACAACCGGAAACCAUGGGAGAUGGAGGUCAAAAGGAACAAAAAUCAAUGUGAUUCACGCUUGAAAUGAACUGAGAAGAGCAUCAAUACAGUCACUGGAGCAGAAGCAGACGCCUCGGCUCGUUGUGUCCUCCUGGUGGAAGGAAAGGAUCGACUAAGUGUGCGCUGCGCUGACAGAGAUACAGAGAGAUACACCGUCCGUCGCCGGGGGAGACGACGCGCCCUCCGGCGACCAACACCACACCACGGACUGAAACACCACCCACACUCGCUGGACAGACGCUGCUGCUGCAUCGUCUCGUCUUCCACCUCCAAUUAGAACAACACGAACGGAGAAAUGACCCCCACGCUGAACAGAACGGACGGACACCAGGCACAAAGUGGAAAUGUUAGCUCGCUCGCUCCGGCCCGGCCUCGCUCACACGAAGCCGACCUCGGCGAACUGCGGGCGCGGCUUGGCCGCGGCGGAGCCGGGCCGCGGGACCGGCGCCAUGCCGUCCGGGAGCGGGUUCUUGCGCGGCCGGCCGCGCGGGCGCGGGAUCUUGGGCGGCGCGUCUGGGUCCCGCGGCUUGGGCGGGCGGCCCCGCCGGCGCGGCGCGGUGGCGACGGCGACGGCGACGGCUAGUCCGUCGCUAGGAGGGGCGCCGAUGAUGGCGGGAGCCCCCACGGGGUAGUAGCCUGGCGGGCGCACCUUCGGGGGCCGGCCGCGGCCGCGCUUGGCGGGAGGCGGGGGCGGCAGCAGCAGCGGCGCGUCGUCGGAGGAUUCGUCGUCCUCCUCCCCCACCUCCGCCUCCAUGUCCUCCUCCUCGACGAGGGAGCUGGAGGGCGGCGGGGGGAGCGCGUACUUGCCCCCGGCGACGGCGACGAGCUCGGCGGCGGCGGACAUGCGGGAGAGGUGCGCGGCGACGAGCGCGGGGUGCGACGGCGGGAGGUCGCCGCCGGCGCCGUGGGCCGCCUCGAUGCGGCGCGCGAUGGCGGCCUGGCUGGAGCCGUUGGGCUCCCGGAGCGACGCGAUGGCCUCCACGAUCAUCUGCACCCACCACACGGAGCCAAAAGAAGUCAAUUUUCCCAGAUCGGUCGGGGGCCGGGCCGCAGAUCUGGGGAAAGAACGAGGCGGCCGCGGCACCGGCGGCUAGGGUUUAGAUACGAGGGGCGGCGGGUGCUUGCCUCGGGGUAGGAGGGGGGGACGGCGAGGUCGGAGGCCGCGCGGGGCGACGACUGGUCGCCGCUG
rnacentral:lncRNA from 1 species